ACAACAACUGGGCUCGAGAGUUUGAAGCAAGCCAACCGUGUUCACUUUGCUCUGACAUUUGUUGAUUGUUUUCCGAAAUUGCUGUUGUAACUCGUAACGUGUUGCGUUUCGGGUUGGGGAAAAGGUUUCCCACACACACCACUCGACUCCCAGAGGACACUUCCUCUUCUGAUGGAUGACGAAGCUGGAAAUCGAUUAGAUUCACUGCUGGGAGCACCUGAAAGGAAACAAUAUCUGUCGAGCGACGUUCCGAUCAUCGGUCCUGCCGGCUCGGAAAGGACCUCUUGAAGAUGUUUCAAGCGAUGGACGUCCACCUCGCAGCAUGUGGCAGGAGCGUAUACGGGUGCCUGUCUGUCGUUGUCGGUGUGGUUUAUUGGCGUUCUUGGCAGGCAGGGGCUUCACAGUCCAUGCGAAUGGGAAUUAUAUUUGCUGCUUCAUUUCACAGUGAUUGACGUCGACAUCGAAUUAUGCAACAAAAGACGGACGGUGCUGUAUAGCCCUAAUGAAAAUAGUACGGGAUUGAAUAAAAUAUUUUAUGGAUACAGAGCUUAACGAUGGUCAUAUAAAAAUUAAAAUGACGCCAAGCAUUGGGCAUUGAACAUGAUGUCUGUGAUACAGAAUGAAAA